rnacentral:rRNA from 1 species
UACGGGGGGAGCAAGCGUUGUUCGGAUUUACUGGGCGUAAAGGGCGCGUAGGCGGCGCAACAAGUCACUUGUGAAAUCUCCGGGCUUAACCCGGAGCGGUCAAGUGAUACUGUCGUGCUAGAGUGCGGAAGGGGCUACUGGAAUUCUCGGUGUAGCGGUGAAAUGCGUAGAUAUCGAGAGGAACACCCUGCGGCGAAGGCGGUCUGCUGGGCCGAUACUGACGUGGAGGAGCGAAAAGCCGUGGGGGGAGCGAAAC